AGCUAUAGUGCCCGCGAGUGACGCAUCAAUCGGCGGAUUUUUUUGAGAAUACUUAUAGUUGUGUAUUUGUUUUAUGUCUUAGCUGUGUAUUACCAUUGAAGUGAUAGUACGCUAACGUGACCACUUUUCACGCAUGAACCGACAGUUACACCUCGCACGACCAGUUCAGUCAGACAAGGCGUUAUUAUAGAAAAGGAUCACGAAAAUUAUUGUAUAGUGUACAGUGACACAUUUUUAUUAGUUUAGCGAAAUUAACUGAUCGUUUGCGUAACGAAAUUACAUUUGACUACGCCACAUAGUUGGACACGACGGAGUGCGCUGCGACUCGGAGAAGACAAAAAGCGGUUGGUGAGUGGCUAAGGCCCCAUAAUGUCAAGGAGUUACGAAGUUUUUUAGGCUUUGCUUCCUAUUACCGCCGUUUUAUUCGAGGAUUCGCCUCUAUUUUGGCUCCAUUAUUAGCACUUACGCACAAGAACGUCCGGUUUGCUUGGUCGUCCGCGUGCCAAUCUUCGUUUGACGAGUUAAAGUCGGUUUUGACAUACGCUCCAGUGUUGGCAUAUCCUUUACGUGAGGCAAGUUUCACCUUGAACACAGAUGCCAGUGACACUGGCGUUGGCGGGAGUACUUAAAGCGUGGGCGGCACGGAAAAAGUAGUUGCUUACUGUAGCUCUACGUUAAGCAAGACAGAACGUCACUAUUGCACCACGUUUCGUGAGUUGUUAGCUGUGGUAAAGUGUAUAAAGAAGUUUCGCCAUUAUUUGUGGGGAAGAGAAUUUACACUACGCACUGACCACGCUUCAUUAAAAUGGCUGCUGACUAUGAAAAACCCGGAGGGUAUGUUGGCCCGGAGGCCAGAGAAGCAGUGGUGGUUUCGGUAUUGCGAACGCAGUCUCGUCGAGCGAGCAAUACGCCUCUGGUUGGCUCGAACAAUGGUCUACGAGCUGCGUCGCUGGCAGAAGGAGGAUCCGUCGAUUUCUCUUAUACUGAGGAACAAAAGUUGCAGCCAACACGCGCCGGAUACUUCGCAAAUGGCGUUGCACGAUACAACUCGUUCUUAGGCAAUGGAAUCUACUAGAGGUUUUCACCAAAUAAACUAAUGUUGGGAAGAGAAACGAUGCUGCCGUUAGAGCUGAUGGUUGGGUCUCGAACGUUUCGGUGCCACACGGGGUUUGUCCAGGACAUGCAGUACACCUUGACAAACUCGUUCGAAGAUGCGCAUCGAUCGUUAAAGAAAUCCGCCGUUCGCCAAAAGCGCAACUACGACCGCAACAUGCAAGUGGUGAACCGUUUACAAUCGGGGAUUGGGUUUGGUAUUUUUACCCUCCGGCAGCUAGAAGAAAAUUGGGACAUGGGUGGAUUGGCCCUAUUUAGAGCGACCCCAGCUCAAUAGAACUAUUUGUGAUACAAGGCUCGGCUACCGUGUAUAAUGAAAUAUUAUAGUUGUGUAUUUGUUGUAUGUCUUAGCUCUGUAUUUCCUCUAUUCCCCUCCGGCAGCUAGAAGAAAAUUGGGAAAUGGGUGGAUUGGCCCUAUUUAGUGCGACAACAGCUCAAUAAUGAACUAUUUGUGAUACAAGCCUCGGCUACCGUGUGUAAUGAAAUAUUAUAGUUGUGUAUUUGUUGUAUGUCUUAGCUCUGUAUUUCCUCUAUUCAGAGCGCGAUUUAUGUUUUAUUCAUGUCUAUGUUAAGUUACAGAGCGUGAGUUAAUUGCUAUUACCGCAUUCCUUCGCUUUUACAUUAUUGGCACAUUCCUGCA